GCACUGCUGAAGAGUCCCAUAAUAGGACGAAACGGCCGUCUGGUGC
rnacentral:hammerhead_ribozyme from 1 species